GACGAACGCUGGCGGCGUGCCUAAUACAUGCAAGUUGAGCGAUGAAGAUUGGUGCUUGCACCAAUUUGAAGAGCAGCGAACGGGUGAGUAACGCGUGGGGAAUCUGCCUUUGAGCGGGGGACAACAUUUGGAAACGAAUGCUAAUACCGCAUAAUAACUUUAAACAUAAGUUUUAAGUUUGAAAGAUGCAAUUGCAUCACUCAAAGAUGAUCCCGCGUUGUAUUAGCUAGUUGGUGAGGUAAAGGCUCACCAAGGCGAUGAUACAUAGCCGACCUGAGAGGGGGAUCGGCCACAUUGGGACUGAGACACGGCCCAAACUCCUACGGGAGGCAGCAGUAGGGAAUCUUCGGCAAUGGACGAAAGUCUGACCGAGCAACGCCGCGUGAGUGAAGAAGGUUUUCGGAUCGUAAAACUCUGUUGGUAGAGAAGAACGUUGGUGAGAGUGGAAAGCUCAUCAAGUGACGGUAACUACCCAGAAAGGGACGGCUAACUACGUG
rnacentral:rRNA from 1 species